rnacentral:lncRNA from 1 species
GACUAUUCAUUUUCUUUUUCCUUCCUAGUCAUCCCUUUCCUCUUCCCCUUCAUUUUUCACUCAAUUUUUCCCUUUUUCUUCCUUUUUGUGUCGUCCUAAACAAUGUGAUUCUCACCAUUUUUGUCUUUAAAUUAGACCUUUUCUGCUCUAAAAUCACCCAAAAUCAGCCUCUCCUUGCUACCAUUAAAUCUCCAUUGCCGCCCCCUCUCCUCCAUUUGUGACGGUGUUGGUUUGUUCCCUUUUCCCUCUACUUUCUUUUUCUUUUGUUGUUGAUUUUUGCUGCUAUUUUUAUAGCCAUUUUAUUAAUGUUUCCUGCCUCUAAAAUGUGACCCCUGACUUCCAAAAAUCCUCUUUGGUGUUUAUCUAAAACUAAUCCCUUUGUUCCACCAUUAGACGUGUUGUCACCCUUGGAGCAUCAUUGUUUUGUUGCUAUUUUUUUUCUUCUUUUUCUCCCCCUUACAGUAGUGUUUUCCUUAAAAUUUCUCUAUUUAAAACAACCCUUAACAUUCCAAAUUGAUAAGGUAUCCAAAUACAUUCAUCCGACAUCUCAGAUCUAAUUAACGAGAAGCGUAAGUGUAGUUUUUACGAGUGAUUGUACUGUAAUAUUUUUGUUAAAAGAUAUUGUUUUGACUGAUUGAUCUAAGGCCUUUAAUUGAUUAUUGAAUACUGAUUUUUAUUAAUAUUUUAAUCGUAGGUGCUGAUUUGAACCUCCUAAAUUAGCAAUGAAGUUAGAUUUCAUUCACAACCUCGUUUCGCAUCAAAUCAAUGUAAGUUAGCUUGUCGAAUUAGAUCUGAAAAAUAGUUGGUGUAGCACUGAUUUGGCCGAAUCCUUAGGGGGUGUUUCAAGGUUGGUCAUUAAUCGUAUAUUAUUAUUCUAAGUGUUAUUUUUGUAUCUAGGUUCAUCUAAGGCUUAAUACGGAAGUGCGGAUUUUACGGUUUAGUGUUACAGUUUGUGAAUUAAGGUGUAGGUCUUCCCUAAGCCUAAAUAACCUAAUACUCAAAUAAAUAUAUUUAAAUAAUGUCAUUUGAUUGCUGAUUUUAGUUUGACCGAAUGACCUAAAUGCAAAUAAGUGAGGUGUUGAGUAAGGUACGGAAUUAAAUAGGAAGCCUAAAUGUUAAAUGUCAUGUUUGGGUGAUGAAAUUGUGAAUGGAAUGUGUGUAUAGCAUGCUAAAUUUUGUAUUAUUGUUUGAUGUGCAUGUAAAUUUGCCAUGACUAAAAUUGUGUUAUGUAUGUAAUUAUGUUACAUAUCAUGUACAACAUUGAUUGUAUUGGAAGCAUGUACUCAUGCCACUAAUUCUUUUAAUUGAAAGUACGCAAGACAUACCCCGAUAUUAUUUACCGAGAAGCAUGAUAAACAUGUCAUUAUACUGAACAAUUAUUGAUAAGCGUGAUAAGCAUGAUCACUAAUAAAAACAUGUUUGAUACUUAUUUUUCUAUAAUAGAAACAUAUGAAAUAAAAUCUAAAAAGUUUACAUUUAUAUUUGAAAAAUUGUUGAAAACAAAAUAUUUGUGUCUAUAUGAAUUUGAAUCCAGGCAAAAUUUAAACUUAAAACCACUUAUUUUCAUAUUUUUUCAGUUUUCCAAAACAUUUUUAAUAAAGAAUGAAAACAACUUCUUCAUUGUGUUCUAAUUUUCACAUAUUUUUUUAUUUUUUAAAAAUUAUUUUUAAAAUUUUCAAUUAAACACAUUUUCUCCAAUGUCUUCCAUUUUCUAAGAAAACGAAAAUGAAAAAAAAAACAUUUGUUUCUCAAAACCAAACGAAGCAUUAAUUUUUUAAAACUUGUGAUUUUAAAAAUGAUACUCACAUAAUUUCCGGAACCUUAAAUACAUAUUUUAGCCCUCAAAUUUGACAACUCCACCUAAAUUGAUACUUAUGGCUAGCUUAGCAAUGCUUUUAAAAAGUUUGGUUUAAGAUUUGAGUAUUUAGCAUUGUUGUUAAAAAGUGCUUUUGAGAAAUAAAAUGUCCAUUUUAGACAUGGUAUUAUCAAGUAAUAAAUAUGCAUUUAAAUAGUAUUCAAAUUAGUUAAUAUUAUUAUAUUUUAGUAAGAAUAUAAAAACAAUUUAUUAUAACUUUUUGUUAAUAUUUUAAUAUAUGAAAUAUAAAUUUUAAAUAUUUUUAAGCAAUAGAUAUUAAUUAUUUAUAAAAUUUAAUUAGAAUAUAUAAACUAUAUUUUAAAUAUUUAAAUAUAACUAUUAAAUAUUUGUAAUUAGAUAUUAACACAUUUGUAUUAUUUUGGAACAUUUUUUUUAUUUUUAAUUCAUGAUUUUAACACAUUUGUAAUUAAGUAUCAAGAAAAGAAAAAGAAGGGAAAAUAUUAUGUUGUUGGAGGGUAAAUAAGUAAUUAAGCACCAAAAGUGCUCUUGAGAGAGGAAAAACUAAAAGUUUUACCUUCUACUUUUGAAAAAUACUUUUGAAAAGUUAAAAACUUCACUUAAAAGUAGCUUGUUUAGUACGGCUUUUCUUACAAAAGUGUUUUUCAAACCAAAAAUAUUUUUUAAGCACUAUUAAACAAGCCCUUAAGGUUUUUUCUUUUACAAAUUAGUACAUUAUUUUACUCCUAAAUUUGACAACUCAUCUAAAUUGAUACUUUUUUUUUCAGAUUAGUACUUGAAUUCUUUUUUUUUUCUAUCCGCCAUGCUAGUAUUUUUUUUAUAGUACCAUUCAAAUUUGAUGACAUGACAAUUUAUGGUUGUGUCACGUGAUAAUGAUGAUGUCAUCAUAUAAAAUUUUUAAAAUAUAUAAUAGCGAGUUUGCAUAUUUGUAUAAUGUACGAAUUUGGUUGUAUGUAUUAAUAAAAUAGUAUUUUAUAAAAUAAUGAAAAAAUACUUAUAAGUUUGUAAAAAAAAUACUAUUUAAAAAAAACGAUAUUGUAUUAUGAAUUUUUUGAAAAAUUAAUUUUUAAUAUGAAUAAUAAUAUUUUGUAACAUAAUAACAAAAGUUUUAAAGAUUUGUAAAAAAAGAAUUACCAUUUUUUUAAAAAAAAUUGGCAUUGUAUUAAGGUUUUUAUUAAAUAAAAAUUAAAAUGAAUUUAGUAAAUUUAAUAGAUAGAAAUUUUAAAACUUUUAAAACUUGGAUUGAAAUUUGGGUUAAUGAGUUGUUUUUAUAAAUAAUUUUCAUUUUAUUUCAAUGGUAAUGAAAUUUUGGAUUUUAGCCCAUUAAUAUUAAAAUAUAAUAUUUUAUAUUUGUAUAUUUAAAUGUAUAAACAUGUUACUAUAUUUAAAACAUUAAAAAAAUCAAAUAUUACAAAAAAAAUUGUAAAAACAUCAAAAAGAAAAUUCUAUAAAAAAAUCCUUAAUUUUUUUAUGUUUUACAAUUUAGUCCCUUUAACUGUUUGGUUCAAAUGGUGACCUCUCCAGACACCUUCAAUAAUACCAACGAGGCAUUACUCUUUGGUUAGCUACACAAAAAUUGUAAGAUUGUCGUGUCUCAUGCGAACUACUCUCAUAUUCUAGGAUAAAAUAACACUUGUAUCAUAGAAUGAGGGAGUUAGCAAUUGGAUUUUUCAAAAAAAAAAAAAAUCAAUAAAUUGUUCUCAGCAACCCAUCGUUAGAUCUUUGUGCACCAUCACCCCUAUGCAUCAUCAAACCCCUUUCAACAAUCCAAUCACCAUACCACCUCAAUUACUGACUUUCAUCCAUUAAUCCAAACAAUCAUCUACCCAUCAAUCCACUUACUACCUAGUCAAUACCACCACAUCUACCUUUGUUACAUCUUCUCUUCACUAGAACAUCACAUGCAUAAACACUUCAAUAACAUUUCCAUCAUUGAAUCAAUCCUAUCAUUUUUAACUACUAACAAUUCAACAAUAAACUUACCCUCAAACGUUAAUCAACAAAUUCAACUGAACUCUUCACCUAUAGUAGAAUUGUUCAUGAACUAGGUUUCUUGCCCAAGCCUAAAGAUUUGCCCAAAAUUUGGGAGGGUUUGGGCAAAAAUAUUAAACCCGAAAGAUAGGCUUGGGCAAAAAUAUUAGGCCCGUUUAAAAUAUGAGGCGAACUCAGGCUUGAACAUUCGAGGCCCAAGCUCGACUCGAUCCGGCCCGUUUGUUUAAGUUAAUAAUAUUUUAUAUUAUGCUAUUUUUUAUAUAUUAUAUAAUUUAUAAUAUAUAUAAAUUAAAUUUAUAAUAGUAUAUAAUAUUAUUAUAAUGUAAACAUUAAAAAAUUAAGAUGACUAUAUAUAAAAUAUUAAUAAAUAAAAAUACAUAAAUUUAUUAAAUAUUAAAUUAAAAUGAUAUAAAUAUAUUUUUAUUUAAAAAUAAUAAUACGGGGGCUUAAAAUGAGUUUGAGUAAAAUUUUAAGCCCAUAUUUCGAGUUGAGCCGAGCUUGGAUAAGCAUAAAAUGUGUUAAUAUCAUGCCUAGGUCCGAUCCAAACCUAACUCAACCCAACCCAUAAACACCUCUAACCAAUAGCUACUAUUAGCUCCCAUCUAACUUGAAUUAAUACCCCCAAAAAAGACCUAUACUUUAACCCUCAAACGAAAUUAAACCUAUAAGAAGCAAGUUGAGAAUAAAAAAAACCAAUAAAAGAGAAAGAAAAUACAUAAUUCAAAAUUAGCUUCAUUGGAUGGCAAAGACGAUUUAUCGAAGUAACAUAUCUUCGUAUCUUGUUUGGAGAGCUUUAGAUUUUAGGGUUUUUUUUAGCAAAACUUGACCUGAUAAGGUGAAAGAGGAAAGAGAGAGCCACAUUCAAAUGUUAUUUGUGUCCUUACCACAUUAUUUAAAUAAAUUAUUUUUUUCCAAAUCAUAUAUACAAUUGGUAAGGAGAGAUCAUGAAUGAUUUAGAAAGAAAAAUGAUGUAUUUAUUUUUAAUUAGUAAGAGGAUUCAUAAAAUAUUUUUUUCAUACAUCCUUACAACCAAAAAUAAAAAAGUAAAACGAGGCAUUUUUGCUUUUUGGAAGGGAGGCACGGUAAAAGAGAAAGUAAAAUGAUCUAACAAUCAGGAUUUGGUAAAACUAUGCCAGCGAUACUUGUUAUCAAUUUUUCUAUUAGAUUGUACUUUGGAGUAUAUGAUUAAAUAUAAUUGAUUAAAUACUUAUAUGGUGAUAAAUUUGUCAUGACUAUACUGCUGCUAAUUAUAUUUAUGGUAAUACAAAUCAAUUGUGAAUCAAAUUCCAUUAGCUUUUUUGAGAUUUAAAAAAAAUAUUAUAUGCAAAUUUAUGGAAUAAAUUAUUUAUGAUUAUUUUUUAUAAUUGUAUUAGGGUGUUAUAAUUUAAUAUAAAAUGAAAAUAAUUAAUGUUAUUUUUUUAGAGAAUCUUAUUCAGAUUCUUAUACGUAAAAAAUAGAAAUAAAUUAAUAUCACGUAAUUUUAUUUAGAUUUCAUGUUAACAUUUUUAAAAGUAAAACCAAAUUGCUUUUUUUUUUUACUGACAUUCUAUUUCUUUUACUGCUCUUUAUAAUCAUAAUUUGAAAUUAAAACUUACCUAAUUUGUUCCAAUACCUUAUAUUAAAUUAUACAUAUAUCACCAAAAUAUUUAUUAAAUUAUUAAUUAAGGAUAAAAAUUAAUUAGAGAAAUUAUUAAUUAUUAAUUAAAGAUGAAAAUUAUAAAAUAAUUAUUAAGGAAGCAUUUUGGAAUUCAAACAAUUAACUUAGAACUCCAAGCUUGCUAAAAUACUCAUGUUCAUUACUUUGUAUAUAUAUACUAGUUUAUAUACUCAUUUGAUUUUUGAUCCGUUUGAUUUUUUAUCUAAAGUACAACGAUUAUGAUACGAGCGGCCCAACCUAAUUCAAAGUCCAUGAUGAAGAUGGGCUUAGUCUCCCUUAAGGCCCAAUCAUGAUAUCCAAAUCCAAGCAGUUGAAGGUAAAACUCAACUUGUUCGUUCAAGGCAUUAUCACGAAUAAAUUUUGAGAAGAAGAGUUGAAGCUUCAAGACGAUGGGCUUUGGAGUUCAAUACUGAGCAACGAUGAAAUAGGAGGGACCAAUUUUGUUUGUGAACUUAAAAUUUCAAUGCAUGAUGGCAGGCACGUGUGGAAAAUGUUAGCAAGCUUAGGCGUUACACUUCAAGGACCCCAAUCAAGCCCACUCGCCUAGCCAUGUUACAAUCAGUCGACUUGCGGUGCAUUUUUUGAAGGGAUCCAGGCAUUUUUUAGUUGAGAUGUCAUCAUAGCGUUCAAAGAUCUAUUUCUUAACUUUGAAACACAUUUUGAAAUCACUUUUAUUUAGAUUAAGAGUUUCAGUAUAGUUAGAGUUUUAUUUGGAUGUACUUAACUGGCCUAUAAAAGGGCCUCUUUAUUAUUUAUUAAGGACAUAAUUGUUUUCAUUAAUAAAGUUUUCAACUUUGGGAGUUA